AUUGAACGCUGGCGGAAUGCUUUACACAUGCAAGUCGAACGGUAGAGGGGGCAACACCUCGAGAGUGGCGAACGGGUGAGUAAUAUAUCGGAACGCGCCCAGUCGUGGGGAUAACGUAUCGAAAGUAACGCUAAUACCGCAUACGAACUAAGGAUGAAAGCGGGGGAUCGCAAGACCUCAGCCGAUUGGAGCGGCCGAUAUCAGAUUAGGAAGUUGGUGGGGUAAAGGCUCACCAAGCCAACGAUCUGUAGCUGGUCUGUGAGGACGACCAGCCACACUGGACCUGAGACACGGUCCAGACUCCUACGGGAGGCAGCAGUGGGGAAUUUUGGACAAUGGACGCAAGUCUGAUCCAGCCAUUCCGCGUGCAGGAUGAAGGCCCUCGGGUUGUAAACUGCUUUUGUACGGAACGAAAAGGUCUCUCUUAAUACGGGGGGCUCGUGACGGUACCGUAAGAAUAAGCACCGGCUAACUACGUGCCAGCAGCCGCCGUAA
rnacentral:rRNA from 1 species